rnacentral:tRNA from 1 species
ACUUAAAUAGCUCAACCUAGAGCAUCACUUUGAAGUUGUGGGGGUAGUCUAAUGACUUUUGGGUA